GCUAAGAUCAAGUGUAGUAUCUG
rnacentral:piRNA from 2 species